rnacentral:rRNA from 1 species
GUCUGCACGGUUAAGUAAAUGUGCAGUCUGGCCUGCCCCCUGAGAACUUUAAAGGGCCGCGGUAUUUGGACCGUGCUAAGGUAGCAUAAUAAAUAGUCUCUUAAUUGGAGUCUAGUAUGAAUGGUCGGACAUGAAGUAAGCUGUUUUAACUUUGAUGCUUGAAUUUUACCUUUAAGUGAAAAGGCUUAGAUCAAAUGGUGGGACGAUAAGACCCUAUAAAGCUUUACGCUUUACUUAUCAGUUGUGAGGAUUAAGGUUUCUUAUUCUUAUUAAGUAAAGCGUUUCGUUGGGGCGACGGAAAUAUAAAUAAGUAACUGUUUUUGCUUGUAAAAUAUGGUUUUAUAGGUGAGUUGAUCCUUUUUAGAGAUUAUAAGAUUUAAGUUACUUUAGGGAUAACAGCGUAAUUUAUCUUGAGAGUUCAUAUCGACAGAUAUAGUUGCGACCUCGAUGUUGAAUUAAAAUACCCCCCAGGUGUAGCAGUUUUGGUGGUAGGUCUGUUCGACCUUUAAAAUUUUACAUGAUUUGAGUUCAGACCGGCGUA